UUUAAUUCGAUGCAAAGCGAAGAACCUUACCAGGGCUUGACAUGCCGUGAAUCCUCUUGAAAGAGAGGGGUGCCCUCGGGAACGCGGACACAGGUGGUGCAUGGCUGUCGUCAGCUUGUGCCGUAAGGUGUUGGGUUAAGUCUCGCAACAAGCGAAAAGCAACACCAAAGAUUUGGGACCAAAAGCGGUUAGCAGUGAACAUUGAAUAAGUUUCUUCAGCUUGAGUUGGGUUAAAAGCACGGAAGGUAUUUGCACCAUCACCGUCCUCAAAUA
rnacentral:ncRNA from 1 species